GAUGAACGCUGGCGGCGUGCCUAAUACAUGCAAGUCGAGCGAACAGACGAGGAGCUUGCUCCUCUGACGUUAGCGGCGGACGGGUGAGUAACACGUGGAUAACCUACCUAUAAGACUGGGAUAACUUCGGGAAACCGGAGCUAAUACCGGAUAAUAUAUUGAACCGCAUGGUUCAAUAGUGAAAGACGGUUUUGCUGUCACUUAUAGAUGGAUCCGCGCCGCAUUAGCUAGUUGGUAAGGUAACGGCUUACCAAGGCAACGAUGCGUAGCCGACCUGAGAGGGUGAUCGGCCACACUGGAACUGAGACACGGUCCAGACUCCUACGGAAGGCAGCAGUAGGGAAUCUUCCGCAAUGGGCGAAAGCCUGACGGAGCAACGCCGCGUGAGUGAUGAAGGUCUUCGGAUCGUAAAACUCUGUUAUAGGGAAGAACAAAUGUGUAAGUAACUAUGCACGUCUUGACGGUACCUAAUCAGAAAGCCACGGCUAACUACGUG
rnacentral:rRNA from 1 species